UAAGUUGUUUCUGCCAUCCAUGCCAUCAAUGAAGGGAGCCUUGCUACUGUGUGCUAAGUGGAAGAGGAGCCACUAUCAGAAGAAGAUGCCGCUGCUAUUGCUGAUCUGAUUUAAGGCUAUUGCUGCUGCUGCGGGUUGGAACGAAGUUGAAGUCACGCUUAAUUUUGUGGUUUUCGACUAUCAAAGGCAAUGAUUAUUGUUGCAUGGAAUGGAUCUGGGAAUCCAAGUGCAAUUUUUAAUGGUGAUGUCUUCAAGAAGGUGCUGCGUGUGUUUAUAACAGCAGCCAUAUUGAAACUUGGACAAGCUACUCUGGAUGUGAUUCUCAGUUGGAAAGAGAGAGGGAG